UUGUCGCAAUCCCUAAACCCGUAGGGGUUUCCAUAUGUUUGUCAUUAUCCCUGAAAACACCUUAGGUCUAUCUUUAUCAUAAAUCUGCAUUGCAUCUCCAUGAAAAAACUUUUAGCAUACCUAAAAUUCGAAGGACAAAUAUUUUUGCAUACCCAUGCAUUUGCAUACAUACACAUACAUUUGCAAACCCUUUCCACUUUCU
rnacentral:lncRNA from 1 species